rnacentral:tRNA from 2 species
CGCGGGGUGGAGCAGUCUGGUAGCUCGUCGGGCUCAUAACCCGAAGGUCGGAGGUUCAAAUCCUUCCCCCGCUA